UAGAAAUACUAGUAAUAGUAGGGGCGGAUGU
rnacentral:tRNA from 1 species